CCGUUUGCUCUCGCCUCAACGUUUGUCUCUUCCGUCGCUUCGAUUUGUUUUCUUUCGUUUUGGUUUCGUGAAAAAAGGAAUAGCGGUGAGAUAGUGUUCGAUUUUGUCAGCAAUUUUAACUGUGUUCGAUUUUCUCGUCGCUGCGGUGGAAUUGUGGUGGGAGAAAGAGGGGAGAGGUAGAGGUGAUUUGUGCUCCAUUUUGAUUUACUAUUGGGUUCGUCAUCAGCCUGGAGAGUUUUGCAAGUUGGCAUGCCAAGUUUCCGAAAUGGGUACAAUUUCGCAGCUGGAGCUGGAGCCUGGAGGGGCUACUACACUUCCAACAACUGCAACAUCUGUCUGCCCCUUUUCAUUUUGGAUUCAGGUCUCUCAGUUUUCGCAAUUCAAAGCCCAGGCUCUUCAAUUGCUAGCUGCUAAAGCGACAGCUCCUCAAAUGAGAUGCCGAACGAGCUGUUUCCUGCCGCCAAUUAUGCAACUGACAUGACGGAAUCAACCAAGGACACUUCUGAGGAGAUAAUGUAAAGUAGUUGGUUCUAACUGCAAACAUAUCAAAUUUUUGCUCGAGUCUAAUCAUAUUUUGCUAAAGUAGUUGGUUAGCAUCUCUUAUUUGAAAUUUGUAAAUACACAUCUGGUCAAGAUACCAGAUUUUGGAAUCGGUAAAACAAUACCAUCUUCGGUUAUAUAAUACAUCUAAUGUUUGUAAUUGCUGUCUUACAAUGCAUAAAUGAUAUAGCCGCAGCAUCGCGCAGGCAUC